rnacentral:rRNA from 1 species
UACGUAGGGGGCGAGCGUUGUCCGGAUUUAUUGGGCGUAAAGAGCGUGUAGGCGGCCAGACAGGUCCGUUGUGAAAACUCGAGGCUCAACCUCGAGACGUCGACGGAAACCGUCUGGCUAGAGUCCGGAAGAGGAGUGUGGAAUUCCUGGUGUAGCGGUGAAAUGCGCAGAUAUCAGGAAGAACACCUAUGGCGAAGGCAGCACUCUGGGACGGUACUGACGCUGAGACGCGAAAGCGUGGGGAGCGAACAGG